CUCGUCGGCUCUGGGGGCUCACGGCGCGGAAGAAGAUGCGGUGGUUUAGAGGGACGGGAGAGCCGGCAGCUGUUCGACCCAGUGCCGGCCGGCUGGUCGGCGAGCGGGCGCGAGGCCGGUGGCCGGUGGCCGUAGGAGGGGAUAGACGGCGGGGUGGGAUCGAGCGCCACGGGGAUCCACCUCGCUUCCCGCUCACCGCUGAAGGCGGCAGGUAGGCGGACCCGUGUUGCGCCGCGGCUUGCGCUGGCCUACAGAUUGAAGCCAUCAAGGCCACAGUGGAUGCAGCUGAGGAUCAGUUCAUCCCACUGUCUGAGUUAACCCCGUCAAUGCAUCGGCGCAGAGUCUGGGUCCCCAUCUCAUGAAUGUGGCUGUCCUUCAAUCCAAACGACAAUGACAGGGUGAUUGGCCUUCACAGUCUUCUGAUCGACGACCAGGGUGAAACUAUGCAGGCGUGUGUACUACCUAUUUGAUAUUAAAAAUCCCAAAGAGCGGCUAGUUGGAGGGAAGUUCUACGGAUUGUCAGAUUUUACAGCCCGUCCAAGUCAGAAAAGCUACAUGUCCUGUGGGUACUUCUAUAUGAUGUACAUUGGGCGAGAGACGCUGGUCAACGAGAUAGAGGGAAAUCUCAAGUCACUACCUGUCCACCACUUUGAUUUUGUUGAUUUCGGUGAUGUUUGUUCUGGGAACAGCAAAAAAUAGCUUAUUAACAGAUGUCGUGGGCCAAGUAGUACAUCUGGGGGGCAUAAAAGACGUCAAGAAACGAUUUCGCCAUAUACUAUUAUGCAACAUAGGAAUUUGGGA